UCCGGAACAGAGGGGGCGGUAAUGCUCCAUUAAGUUGGAUGCCAACCGCCGGUAAAAAAGAAAGAAGAAGAAGAAGAACAUUUAUUUUGCAGCUUAACUGUAAGUUUGCUGUUCUGUUUUCACACUUUGCUGUCUAUAUGUAAUUUGUGGCCACUUUUGUUAAGUUUAACCUUUAGUGGAGUUUAUUGUUUAAUGUUUUGUGAAUUAUGUUUGUUUGGUUACUGUAUGGACUCCUCAUAGUUGUAAUCUUUUCUAGAUAUUUUUUAUUUGUUCCAAUUCAGGCUAAUGUUGAAUGUUUACAACUAUGAGGAGUGGAUGUAUAAUUUUGGUGUUACUUUGAGUGUGUUAUCGCACCUCUCCAAGGAUUAUACCCAAAGAUACCCGGCCUACCUCUGCAAUUAUUUCUACAUUGCAUCUGUUGUACCUGUUCAUUUAUUCUGGACAUUGGGUUGUUGUUUUUUUGUGACUGUUGGCUAGGGGAAUUUGUAUAUUUGUGAAGCGUUUAAUAUGGUGUUUGUGAAUAUUUGGCAUGGGUAGUUUAAUACAGAUUGUAAAAAGGAUAUCCCAUGUCUUUUUUUUUUUGCCUUUAUCAAAACUUUGUUACACUAUUGGACCUCUAGCAAAAAUUAUUCCCACUUUUACUCCUAUAAUAGGCCCGGUUUCAAAUAGUCGGAACAGUUAUAGUCUGGCUUCAGCAUUGACAUUUACCCUGUGAAAGUUACACCGUGUAAAAAUAAAUACAGUUUAAUCUAUUUUUUUAUUAUUAAUUCUUUUUUGUUACAGAGAAUGGAGUAAACAGGUUUGUUUUCAUCAGUAUUAGCAUGACCUGGAAGGAUGCUCAGAGCUACUGCAGACAGUAUUACACAGACCUGGUCAUCAUUCAGAAUCAAACUGAGCAGAACCAGCUGAGUGUGAUGAAACCAUAUACAAGUGCUUGGAUUGGACUGUUCAGAAAUGUGUGGAAAUGGUCGGAUGAAACAUAUGUCUCCACUUCCUCCUUUACUAGACUGCCUUUACAAUCUGGGCUGCAGAGUCCUUGUGGUGUUUCAGAUCCUGGUGGUAUAAUCAGUUAUCAGGUCUGCUCAAACAUUCUCCCUUUCGUCUGCAUGCAACGUGCAAAGAAACAGAUUGUAAGACUGAGGGUCAAAUCUGGUCAGAAUCUCAAUGAUCCUGCAGUGAUGACUGUUAUCUUACAGAAGAUAAAACAGAAGCUGAAGGAAUGGGGUAUAGAAAAGGAAACAAAAGUGACAUGGAGAGUUCAGGCAAAUGGAUAUGUGUUUUCACGAGUUACACAUUUUUAA
rnacentral:lncRNA from 12 species